rnacentral:tRNA from 1 species
UGCUCUGGUGGUGAAAUUGGUAAACACGAAUGAUUCAAAAUUAUUUGCUUUUUAGCUUGGAGGUUCGAGUCCUCUGCAGAGUAU